CCUACGGGGUGCAGCAGUGGGGCAUAUUGCACAAUGGGGGAAACCCUGAUGCAGCGACGCCGCGUGAGUGAAGAAGUAAUUCGUUACGUAAAGCUCUAUCAGCAGGGAAGAAACACUGACCUUACGGUCAGCAGACGGUACCUGAGUAAGAAGCCCCGGCUAACUACGUGCCAGCAGCCGCGGUAAUACGUAGGGGGCAAGCGUUAUCCGGAUUUACUGGGUGUAAAGGGAGCGUAGGCGGUGCGCCAAGUCUGGAGUGAAAUGCCGCAGCUUAACUGCGGAACUGCUUUGGAAACUGGCGAACUAAGGGGGGGGGGGGGGUAGGGGGAAUUC
rnacentral:rRNA from 1 species